rnacentral:rRNA from 1 species
UAGGGAAUCUUCCGCAAUGGACGAAAGUCUGACGGAGCAACGCCGCGUGAGCGAUGAAGGCCUUCGGGUCGUAAAGCUCUGUUGUUAGGGAAGAACAAGUACCGUUCGAAUAGGGCGGUACCUUGACGGUACCUAACCAGAAAGCCACGGCUAACUACGUGCCAGCAGCCGCGGUAAUACGUAGGUGGCAAGCGUUGUCCGGAAUUAUUGGGCGUAAAGCGCGCGCAGGCGGUUCCUUAAGUCUGAUGUGAAAGCCCACGGCUCAACCGUGGAGGGUCAUUGGAAACUGGGGAACUUGAGUGCAGAAGAGGAAAGCGGAAUUCCACGUGUAGCGGUGAAAUGCGUAGAGAUGUGGAGGAACACCAGUGGCGAAGGCGGCUUUCUGGUCUGUAACUGACGCUGAGGCGCGAAAGCGUGGGGAGCAAACAGGAUUAGAUACCCUGGUAGUCCACGCCGUAAACGAUGAGUGCUAAGUGUUAGGGGGCUUCGCCCCUUAGUGCUGCAGCUAACG